rnacentral:rRNA from 1 species
CAAGGGUUCCUGUCCAACGUUAAUCGGGGCAGGGUGAGUCGACCCCUAAGGCGAGGCCGAAAGGCGUAGUCGAUGGGAAACGGGUUAAUAUUCCCGUACUUGGUGUUACUGCGAAGGGGGGACGGAGAAGGCUAUGUUGGCCGGGCGACGGUUGUCCCGGUUUAAGCGUGUAGGUGUGUGUUCCAGGUAAAUCCGGUUCACUUUAACACUGAGGCGUGAUGACGAGGCACUACGGUGCUGAAGCAACAAAUGCCCUGCUUCCAGGAAAAGCCUCUAAGCAUCAGGUAACAUCAAAUCGUACCCCAAACCGACACAGGUGGUCAGGUAGAGAAUACCAAGGCGCUUGAGAGAACUCGGGUGAAGGAACUAGGCAAAAUGGUGCCGUAACUUCGGGAGAAGGCACGCUGACACGUAGGUGAAGUGAUUUACUCAUGGAGCUGAAGUCAGUCGAAGAUACCAGCUGGCUGCAACUGUUUAUUAAAAACACAGCACUGUGCAAACACGAAAGUGGACGUAUACGGUGUGACGCCUGCCCGGUGCCGGAAGGUUAAUUGAUGGGGUCAGCGCAAGCGAAGCUCCUGAUCGAAGCCCCGGUAAACGGCGGCCGUAACUAUAACGGUCCUAAGGUAGCGAAAUUCCUUGUCGGGUAAGUUCCGACCUGCACGAAUGGCGUAAUGAUGGCCAGGCUGUCUCCACCCGAGACUCAGUGAAAUUGAACUCGCUGUGAAGAUGCAGUGUACCCGCGGCAAGACGGAAAGACCCCGUGAACCUUUACUAUAGCUUGACACUGAACAUUGAGCCUUGAUGUGUAGGAUAGGUGGGAGGCUUUGAAGUGUGGACGCCAGUCUGCAUGGAGCCGGCCUUGAAAUACCACCCUUUAAUGUUUGAUGUUCUAACGUGGACCCGUGAUCCGGGUUGCGGACAGUGUCUGGUGGGUAGUUUGACUGGGGCGGUCUCCUCCUAAAGAGUAACGGAGGAGCACGAAGGUUGGCUAAUCCUGGUCGGACAUCAGGAGGUUAGUGCAAUGGCAUAAGCCAGCUUGACUGCGAGCGUGACGGCGCGAGCAGGUGCGAAAGCAGGUCAUAGUGAUCCGGUGGUUCUGAAUGGAAGGGCCAUCGCUCAACGGAUAAAAGGUACUCCGGGGAUAACAGGCUGAUACCGCCCAAGAGUUCAUAUCGACGGCGGUGUUUGGCACCUCGAUGUCGGCUCAUCACAUCCUGGGGCUGAAGUAGGUCCCAAGGGUAUGGCUGUUCGCCAUUUAAAGUGGUACGCGAGCUGGGUUUAGAACGUCGUGAGACAGUUCGGUCCCUAUCUGCCGUGGGCGCUGGAGAACUGAGGGGGGCUGCUCCUAGUACGAGAGGACCGGAGUGGACGCAUCACUGGUGUUCGGGUUGUCAUGCCAAUGGCACUGCCCGGUAGCUAAAUGCGGAAGAGAUAAGUGCUGAAAGCAUCUAAGCACGAAACUUGCCCCGAGAUGAGUUCUCCCUGAGACUUUAGGUCUCCUGAAGGAACGUUGAAGACGACGACGUUGAUAGGCCGGGUGUGUAAGCGCAGCGAUGCGUUGAGCUAACCGGUACUAAUGAACCGUGAGGCUUAACCUU